rnacentral:rRNA from 1 species
GCUGAAAAUCUAGCUCAAUUUUCCCAAAUGAACCCUCUUACCUUGAUCUAUUAACUAAAACAUUUUAACAUUCUAGUAAAGGAGAUUGAACAAACUCUUGAAGCUAUAUAAACAGUACCGCAAGGGAACGAUGAAAUAAAAGUGAAAAUCUCUAAGCACAAAGAAGUAGAGCUUACCCCUCGUACCUUUUGCAUCAUGGUUUAACUAGUCUAAUCAAGCAAAAAGCAUUUUAGUUUGACCCCCCGAAACUAAGCGAGCUACUUCGGAGUAGCCUUAUGGGCACACCCGUCUCUGUUGCAAAAGAGUGGGACAACUCCCAAGUAGCGGCGACAUACCUAACGAGCUUAGUGAUAGCUGGUUACUCGAGAAACGAAUUUUAGUUCAACUUAAAGCUCUAAUUUUCCAAUGAAAUCUUAACUCAGCUUUAAAGCAAGUCAAAUAAGGUACAGCCUAUUUGACCCAGGACACAACCUCAACUGAUGGGUAAAAUCCGCCCCUUACUUUUCCCAGUGGGCCUAAGAGCAGCCACCUCCUAAAAAGCGUCACAGCUUAGCUUAGUAAAAUUUUCAAUUCCUACUCUCACCUUUAUCCCUCUCCCCCUAUCGAGUAAUUCUAUACUUUUAUAGAAGCUUUUAUGUUAAAACUAGUAACAAGAAGGACGACCUUCUCUUAAAUGCAAGCAUACAUCAGACAGGACAAACCACUGAUAAUUAACGCCCCUGAAUAUAAAUUAGCAACCCUCUCAAGAAAACCCUGAUUCCCCAUGCGUUAACCUAACACAAGAGCAUUUCAAGAAAGAUUAAAAGAAAAAGAAGGAACUCGGCAAAUCUUAACCCCGCCUGUUUAUCAAAAACAUCGCCUCUUGACCCCCAAUAAGAGGUCCAGCCUGCCCAGUGACACAUGUUCAACGGCCGCGGUAUCCUAACCGUGCGAAGGUAGCGUAAUCACUUGUUCUUUAAAUGAGGACUAGUAUGAAUGGCAUCACGAGGGUUACACUGUCUCCUUUCUCUAAUCAGUGAAACUAAUCUCCCCGUGAAGAAGCGGGGAUUUAACUAUAAGACGAGAAGACCCUAUGGAGCUUUAAAUUUUACUUCAAAUGCCCCUCUUUCUACAAGUCUCCUGACCCUAAGACACUACCCAGGCAUUAUGAAGCUGAAUUUUAGGUUGGGGUGACCGCGGAGUAAAAAACAACCUCCACAUUGAAUUAGGCCUCCUAGCCUUGAGUUAAGGGUUACGACCCUACGCACUAACAAAUUUACAUCCAUUGACCCAAUAAUUUGAUCAACGAACCAAGUUACCCUAGGGAUAACAGCGCAAUCCUCUUCAAGAGCUCCUAUCGCCAAGAGGGUUUACGACCUCGAUGUUGGAUCAGGGUAUCCCAGUGGUGCAGCCGCUACUAAUGGUUCGUUUGUUCAACGAUUAAAACCCU